rnacentral:lncRNA from 1 species
UUCAAACUGUGUUUGGAUGUAGGCAGCUGCGUCUUCAUAGGUGUUGGAGCCUGUAGGAAGAUACAGAGGGGCAAGCAAGAUGCCCUGGUGAGAGCUGGGUGUGGACGGGCAGGCAGGAGGCAGAGCAGGCGCGGCGAGGCCGGAGGGAACAGCAUUCCGGUGAGGAAUCGAUUCCUCACCCGAUUCUCCAGGGCAAGGCUGCACAGAAGCUACAAACCACCAAAGGCCUGGCAUUGCCUGGCUUCUGCUUCCUCAGCUUUCACUUACUGUGUUUGUAUUGUAUGUCUGCGAUGGCUCUGGGCAGAGCCGUGGUCACAGAUGAUCUCAUUAACAAAGCUAGAUAAAGCAAGGACCUUUCCAUGUCACGAAGAUGAAAUGGAAACCAACUCCAUUACUCUGUCUCACCACUGGGCCAUCUCCCCAACCCAUGUGACUCUUUAAGAUGUGUGUGUGUGUGUGUGUGUGUGUGUGUGUGUGUGCCUGUGCGAGUGUAUGCACAUGUGAGUGCAGUGUCCACAGAAGCCAGAGAGGGCAUUGGAUCUCCUGGAUAUGGAAUUAGAGGUAGAUGUGAGGCACCUGAUGGGUGCUAGUUACUGAUCUUGGGUCCUCUGCAAGAGCAGGACGUACUCUUUUUUUUUUUUUUUUUGGUUCUUUUUUUCGGAGCUGGGGACCGAACC